CGGUGAAGGAGACUGCGAGCCGGUGCCUGGCAGGACGGUCACCCCUUGUCUCUGGGCAGACGCCUGGGGUGGAGAGAGACAAGCUGCCCAUCAGCAGGACCGAAAACCGAGCCAAGAGCAUCUGCCCACAAGGUGGCGCUGCCGCUCUGCGGUGAGGACUGUGGUCACCCGGGAGACCCGGGCAGCUUGUCACCUCCGGGUUUGAGUCGAAAAGCUGCGUUCUUAGAGCUCUCCCUCCCCCGGCUCCGCAUUCCUUCUCCACGGUUCCACCUCCUCUCUUCCCAGGGGAUGCUUUUACUAAAAGGUCUCCUGUAGCCUGCAUCAGAAUUUCACUCUCUUCAGGGUGAUGGUGUUACAUCACAUGUGUGUACUGAGUAUCCAUUCACCGCUGAAGUCACAGGCAGAGAGAUAAGGAGUGAGGCCGUUGCUGAGGAAGGAUAUGAUGAAGAAGCAAUCUUUCUUCCCUCACUGUGGGUCCUUUACCAACUGUAUUAAUUAUUUUUCUACGGCUGUUAUGGCACACAAUGACCAAGGGAACUGCUAGAAAGUCUGUUGGGGCGGACCGUUCCAGAGGGGUUUGAGUCCAUCACGGCAGGGAAUCAUGGCGGCCGCAACAGCUGAGAGCUCACAUCUUGAACUGCAAGCGGGACACAGAAGGAGAGCUGGGAAUGGCGUGAACCUCCAAACUCUUAAACCCCACCCCCAGUGACACCCCUCCUCCAACAAGACCACACCUCCUAAACAUCCCCAAAGUGCCACCAACUGGGGACCAAAUUGUUGUGGGAGAUUUGUUCACUCCGAGAUGGCCAAUAAAGUUUUUACUUCGAUUUCA